GAGGCGGGCAGGAACCGUGUGCGCUCCGACCUCACCGCCUGGAGCUCAAAUUUUUCAGAGUUACUGAAGUACAGAGGGGUAUCAGUGAAUUGCCAGUCAUCCAAAUACACGUGGCAAGCUGUGCUCUAUCAAGCCAUCACAUUGAUAGUGAAUGUCUGCACACUGUGAUACUACGUGCAGAAAGCAAAGCCAUUGGAACCAGUUUUGAGCAAGGAAUAACCCCUCCUGGGAAAAGAACUUCUCUCCCUUUCCAUCUCUGCAAACCUCUUAGGGGAGAUCUGAGGUACUAACGGAGCGCCAAACCCACUCUAACAGAGACUUCACAGACCAAGAAGGAGCUGGGCUCUAAGAUAACCCAGCUGACCUGGGAAGUCAGAUACAAGCACAUCUUUCUAAAUGCGUAACACCUUCAGAACUAGAUUAUGAGGAAAAAGAAAACAGGAGAAAAGCAACGUGAGAAGGAAACUACAACUUUGUGCUGUGUAUUG